rnacentral:rRNA from 1 species
AGUGAACGCUGGCGGUAGGCCUAACACAUGCCAGUCGAACGGCAGCACAGUAAGAGCUUGCUCUUACGGGUGGCGAGUGGCGGACGGGUGAGGAAUACAUCGGAAUCUACUUUUUCGUGGGGGAUAACGUAGGGAAACUUACGCUAAUACCGCAUACGACCUACGGGUGAAAGCAGGGGAUCUUCGGACCUUGCGCGAUUGAAUGAGCCGAUGUCGGAUUAGCUAGUUGGCGGGGUAAAGGCCCACCAAGGUGACGAUCCGUAGCUGGUCUGAGAGGAUGAUCAGCCACACUGGAACUGAGACACGGUCCAGACUCCUACGGGAGGCAGCAGUGGGGAAUAUUGGACAAUGGGCGCAAGCCUGAUCCAGCCAUACCGCGUGGGUGAAGAAGGCCUUCGGGUUGUAAAGCCCUUUUGUUGGGAAAGAAAAGCAGCAGGUUAAUACCCCACUGUUCUGACGGUACCCAGAGAAUAAGCACCGGCUAACUUCGUG